GACGAACGCUGGCGGCGUGCUUAACACAUGCAAGUCGAACGGAAAGGCCCUGCUUGCAGGGUACUCGAGUGGCGAACGGGUGAGUAACACGUGGGUGAUCUGCCCUGCACUUCGGGAUAAGCUUGGGAAACUGGGUCUAAUACCGGAUAGGAGCCAUCUUUAGUGUGGUGGUUGGAAAGUUUUUUCGGUGUAGGAUGAGCUCGCGGCCUAUCAGCUUGUUGGUGGGGUAAUGGCCUACCAAGGCGGCGACGGGUAGCCGGCCUGAGAGGGUGUACGGCCACAUUGGGACUGAGAUACGGCCCAGACUCCUACGGGAGGCAGCAGUGGGGAAUAUUGCACAAUGGGCGCGAGCCUGAUGCAGCGACGCCGCGUGGGGGAUGAAGGCCUUCGGGUUGUAAACUCCUUUCGCUAGGGACGAAGCUUUGUGUGACGGUACCUAGAUAAGAAGCACCGGCUAACUACGUG
rnacentral:rRNA from 1 species